AAGUUAUCUUUAACUUAAGUUACGGUAUCUACGACGUGUUUGUGUAAAUUUAGUUUAGCUAGCAGCGAGCUAGUUAGCAUCAAACAGGGAGGAGAAGGUUAAAACAAAUGUCACCGCAGAAACAAGAGCACCUGGAAACAUUUACAGCCCGGACAUUCAUCACUGUGACUCCAUGAAGACAGAGAAGAAGACCACCUUCAUACAUAGUGGAAGCGGAAGGCGUCCGUCUUGUGUUUGAAGAUGUAGUAGCCGAGUGCAGCCAACACACACGCCAGCAACAACGACACCAAGAUGGCCGACACUGUGCCGCUUGAGUGGGUGUAGCUUCUGGAAGCAUGAUGGGAGAUCUGGAGAUGACAGUAACAGCUACACUUUGCUGCACCGUUGCCAUGGAGACGUGACUCUGUGCCAGGAAGAAGAAUCUGUUUACAGUAUGUGGAGGAAAGACAGAUGGCCACCAACAUGUCACAUGUCCAACUGUAGCUGUUGCCUAGCAACAACAGACAGAACAUCCUAUUUAGGAAGCGCUGCUGGAUAAAGAGGAACGGUUGGUUGCCAUGGUGCCUCCUGGUGGCUGAGCUCAGAACUGCAGUGGUUCACAACACCGCAAACAUUUCAUCUAACUGGAAGCCAAGCAAUGUACUGCUGUGAACUGGACGGCAGCAAAAGGUUUUCACUCUACAGUUCCCAUCGUGCUUCGGAUGAUAUGAUGAAGAGGAAGAGUACAAUUUUAGCCCUGUUAAAUUUGUCCCGUGUAUCUUUACAUUUUCGGGAAUCUGCACCAUUAAAACGCCAUGCAGCAGGAUGAUGACAGAUGACAUGAUGGUUCAGAAUUGGAGGAAGAAGUUGCCCUAAUUGUCAGCAGCUCUAGGUUAAACCA